CUGCCCGGUGCUCGAAGGUUAAUUGAUGGGGUUAGCAUUAGCGAAGCUCUUGAUCGAAGCCCGAGUAAACGGCGGCCGUAACUAUAACGGUCCUAAGGUAGCGAAAUUCCUUGUCGGUUAAAUACCGACCUGCAUGAAUGGCGUAACGAGAUGGGAGCUGUCUCAAAGAGGGAUCCAGUGAAAUUGUAGUGGAGGUGAAAAUUCCUCCUACCCGCGGCAAGACGGAAAGACCCCGUGGACCUUUACUACAGCUUGACACUGCUACUUGGAUAAGAAUGUGCAGGAUAGGUGGGAGGCUUUGAGUAUAUGACGCCAGUUGUAUAUGAGCCAUUGUUGAGAUACCACUCUUUCUUAUUUGGGUAGCUAACCAGCUUGAGUUAUCCUCAAGUGGGACAAUGUCUGGUGGGUANUUUGACUGGGGCGGUCGCCUCCCAAAUAAUAACGGAGGCUUACAAAGGUUG
rnacentral:rRNA from 1 species